GCUUGCCUCAGCCAGCAUAUUCUAAAAUUGAAAUAAUACAGAGAAGAUUAGCAUGACCCCUGCACAAGAAAGGCAUGCAAAUUUGUGAAGUGCUCCAUAUUUUC